UACGAAGGGGGGCGAGCGUUGUUCGGAUUUACUGGGCGUAAAGGGCGCGCAGGCGGCUUUGUUUGUCAGGCGUGAAAGCCCCGGGCUUAACCUGGGAACUGCGUUUGAUACGGCAGGGCUAGAGUUCGGGAGAGGAGCGUGGAAUUCCCAGUGUAGAGGUGAAAUUCGUAGAUAUUGGGAGGAACACCGGUGGCGAAGGCGGCCACCUGGACGGAUACUGACGCUGAGACGCGAAAGCGUGGGGAGCAAACAGG
rnacentral:rRNA from 1 species